UUGAAUAUAGUGAAAAUAAAGAGGAAUGAUGGGAAUAAAUGAUUGGAAGCAGGAAACAAAAGAAGACUCAAAGAUGAUGAUUGACACUUCAGACUUGGGUGGUUAAAGGAUUGACCAAUUGAUAAAUUCAGAGGAUAAUAGUAUCAUUGACAAAACUAAAAAACAAGAGAUUUUGGCGUAGAACUUGAUGGCAUAAUGGGACAUUCAAAUGGAAUAGAAUGAUAGGGAUUAUUUAAUUAGCUGACAUUUAUAGCACUCUGGAAUUUGCAAAGCACUUUACAUACAUGAUAAUAUUUGAUCCUCACAAAAGAUUACAUCUCUGUACCUCUGUACUUCUGGAGAGAUGAGGAAAAUGAGAGCAAGAAAAUUUACUUUAUCUAGCUUUUAGUGAAACAGGAGAUACUAGAAGCAAGAUUCGAAUCCAUGACAUCCUGACCUCCUGCAGCUUCUGGGAGAAAUGUUGCCUGGGUGGUCUGAUGUGGGAAUCCAUUAAUUUUUCAUGAGUUGUACGCAUCCUCUCUCUCUCUGCACCCCUCUUCAGCUCUCAUCAACACGGAGGAUGAUUAAAUACCCAAGUUAAAAGGCACAUAAAAGGUACUUCUUUCAGGGGGAGGAGACAGCUCUCCAUUGAUCCAUAAACGAGUAGCGCCUUAUAAUCUGAA